rnacentral:rRNA from 1 species
UACAGAGGUCCCAAGCGUUGUUCGGAUUCACUGGGCGUAAAGGGUGCGUAGGUGGUAAGGUAAGUUUAAGGUGAAAUCUCCGGGCCUAACCCGGAAACUGCCUCGAAUACUAUCUUGCUAGAGGGUUUGAGGGGGGACUGGAAUACUUGGUGUAGCAGUGAAAUGCGUAGAUAUCAAGUGGAACACCAGUGGCGAAGGCGAGUCCCUGGAAAACUCCUGACACUGAGGCACGAAAGCUAGGGGAUCAAACGGG